UUUCUGAGUUCUCUAUUCUGUUUCAUUGGUCUAUAUUUCUGUUUUUCUACCAGUACCAUGUGCUUUCGGUUACUGUGGCCUUAUAAUAGAGUUUAAGGUCU